rnacentral:rRNA from 1 species
UACGUAGGGGGCAAGCGUUGUCCGGAUUUAUUGGGCGUAAAGAGCGUGUAGGCGGCCAGGUAGGUCUGCUGUGAAAACUCGAGGCUCAACCUCGAGACGCCGGCGGAAACCAUCUGGCUAGAGUCCGGAAGAGGAGAGUGGAAUUCCUGGUGUAGCGGUGAAAUGCGCAGAUAUCAGGAAGAACACCCGUGGCGAAGGCGGCUCACUGGACCGGCAUUGACGCUGAGGUGCGAAAGCGUGGGGAGCAAACAGG